UAACGGGGGAGGCGAGAGGAGAGAAGGAAGGGAGUGCGUCGUAAGGGGGGUGAGGGGGAGGCGGAGCUUUUGGAGAAAAAGAGAGAAAGAGCGGCAGAGCCAGCUUCCUUUUUCCGAUCAGGGACGGGUGGAGCUGGCAGGGACUGUGGCCGAGCUGCCGCCAGCGAGACUCGAGUACCCGCCCCCGCGGCCAGCAGCUGGGCACUCGCGCGCCCCUCCCCCGGGACGCGGGUGGCUUGGGGCGCGGACCCAGCCCCAUCGCUCCUGGUAUGGGACCACGGGACGAUUCCCGAGUGCCCCCGGGCUGAGCCUCUGCCAGAAUUUUCUUCGGAAGUUAACGGGGCAUCUGACUUGGCAGCUUUGCCACAGAUGGGGAGCACGUACCAAGAUGGAGAAGGCUGGGGUUGGGGGGGGGGCCUGAUUUGCAGGUACUACCAGUAUAGUAGGAGAGACACGUACAAAACCUAAUGGCUACAGCCGGCUUUUCCAAGCCACAAAACUGCUUAAGGCUGAGAGGUCAAAGAAGGACGUUGUCGAUGGUUUUUGCUUCCUUGAAGAAAUUGCCUCUGAACUGAAUCUUCAAGACCAAGUCUUCCAGAAAUGGCAGGGUGGAAGAUCAGGGGAGCACAGCAUAGGAAAACCAGGCAAGUUAAAACAUUUUCAUGGGAUCCUAAAAGUAGUGUGGCCCGGGGCUCCACGCCUGCUGUGCCCAGUGGAUAAGAUGGCAGUGGGCAAAGUCCAGCCAUGUGACAGCCUGGAUAGAACAUUAAAGCACCUGGAAGGCACUGGAGAUGCAACAGUAAACAAACAAGAAGUGGUUUGCAUGGAGGUGAUUCCACUGGGGCAAGACUUGACUGUGGAGAUGGCACUUUCCAAAGACGGCCACACGUUCUUCUAGAACUUUCCCUCUUCCUCAUCAAAAGGUGGUGUCUAACAUCCCUUCCAUUUAGUCUAGGCAGACUUGUCACUCACAACCAGCAGAAUGCAGCAGAAGUGAUUUUGUGUGACUUCUGAGGCUACGUCAUAAAAGGCGCUGCAGCUUCUGGCUUAUUAGUUGGGACACAUGCCUUUGGAGCUUUAAGAUGGAGUGUAGGAAGUCCACCUACCCUAAGACUGCCAUGCUGUGAUGAGACCCAGGCCACAUGGAGAGGCCAUGCAUGUGUGUUCUGGCUGACAUCCCAGCUGACAUCCCAGCCAACAGCCAGUGUCAGCUGCCAGACAUGUGAGUGAGCGAAUCUUUAGACAUUUCCAGACCCUAGCUGUCAAAUCACUUCCAGCCUUCAAGACUUCCCAGCUGAGGCCCCACACAUCAUGGUACAGAGACAGUCCAUCCCCACCGUGUUCUGUCCAAAUUCCUGACCCACAGAAUUCAUGAGCAUCAUAGAAUGGUGGUUGUUUAAACUACUAAAUUUGAGGUGGUUUACUAUGCAGAAAUAGUAUCUAGAACACUCACAAUAAGCAAGCAAAUACAUGAGCAAGAUCAUUUCAUAUUGUGAUAAGUCCUCAGGAAAUCAUAAGACAGCAUGAUAACUCGGAGGAAGGCCUCUUUAGCUUGGGGGUGCAGGGGCAUGCUGAUAGGCAGGGGAGGCAGGGGAGGUAGCAUCAGGAAAGGGCUUUCUGGAGAAACAUUUGAACUGGAAUCUGAGUGAGAAGGAGCCCAGCCACCAAAUAUCUGGCAGAGAGACUUCCAGGCAGAAGGUACAGCAAGUGCAAAGGCCCUGAGGCAGGAAUCAGGUGGGUGCACUGUGAAGAUCAGGAAGGCCAGUGUAACUAGGGGGAUGUGAGUGAGGAGGAGAGUGGGGGCAACGAAGUUGGAGAGGAAGGCAGAGAGGCAAGCUUCAGCAGUCUUACAGGGUGCUGAGAAGAGUUAGAUUUCAGAGUGAGUGAGCUGGGAAACCAGUGGAAGGUAUCACACAGGAGUGACUUGGUAGGUAAAGCUCUUUGUUUUCCCAAUCUUUUUUUUUUUUUUUUCUGCUUUAUCUCCCCAAAUUCCCCCCCGCCGCCGCCCCACAUAGUGUAUAUCUUAGUUGCAGGUCCUUCUAGUUG